AGGGGAAUCUUGCACAAUGGGGGCAACCCUGAUGCAGCGACGCCGCGUGAGCGAUGAAGCCCUUCGGGGCGUAAAGCUCUUUCGACCGGAACGAUAAUGACGGUACCGGGAGAAGAAGCUGCGGCUAACUACGUGCCAGCAGCCGCGGUAAUACGUAGGCAGCAAGCGUUGUUCGGAGUUACUGGGCGUAAAGAGUGCGUAGGCGGUUUUCUAAGUUCGGUGUGAAAUCUCCCGGCUCAACUGGGAGGGUGCGCCGAAGACUGGGAAGCUGGAGUGUGGGAAAGGCAGGCGGAAUUCCUGGUGUAGCGGUGAAAUGCGUAGAUAUCAGGAGGAACACCGGCGGUGUAGACGGCUUGCUAGACCAUAACUGACGCUGAGGCACGAAAGCGUGGGUAGCAAACA
rnacentral:rRNA from 1 species